rnacentral:lncRNA from 1 species
AUGCAUUAUAGGGUAGAUGUGAUGAUAUAUAUGUGAAUGUUGCAUGAUGUUAGUACACGUGCUAUUUGAGAUGUUUGAGAGCCUAUUUAACCCUAUAUGCAUGCAUGAGAUGUAAUGUGAGCACCCAAUGAGAGGAAAGAACAAAGUGACAUAAUAAAACAUAGAUCGAGUGGCAUUCGACAAUGUAAAGUAAAGUGACACUAGAGUUAGUGUGUGUGGCAUCAAAGAGAAAUGUGACGCAAAGAACAAUGCUAAUGUUUAGAGACAAGUAAAGAAAACGAAAGUGGCAUAAAGAACGAGUAAAGUUAAAGAACGAUGAUUGCUAGAGUUAGCAAAAUAAAGUGAUGUAAUAACACUAGAGUUAGUGUAAAGACAAUGAUUGAACUAUAUAUCCUUAGAGUUAAGGAUCGAUCAUACUUUGCUAUGAGUUCCGUGCUCGAGGGCGGUCGCUCCCCUUCGGGCGAUGCGCUCCGGAGUUUUUGCAUCACGGGUUGGAGUAAACCCGAGGACGGUCUUAGCGGGAGGAAGCUGAGGGCCCGCGAUGAUGGACUUAAUGUGGGCAAGUUAAUGUGGCGAAACCCCCGGGUUAGCCGUGAGAUUAAAGAACAAAGAACAAAGAUUAAAGAAUAAAGAGUAAAGAACAAAGAACUUGCAUACUUGCAUGAUUUACGUUGAGCAUAUUUCUUGCUUUAUUGUUCAGGCAUAUUAGCAUCAUGAUUAUAGUUUGGUUACUAUUCUGCUUAUCCUUUCUAUUAUGCCUGAGUUAGCCCUAGUGGGAAAGUCGGUGAGAUUGGGGCCGAACCCACUGGGAACUUUGUUGUAGUUCUCACCCCACUAUUCCACAGAGCCAAGACCGAGCGAGCCGGCGAGUGACCGCGGUAAAGGUAUCGCACCAUAGUCAGAGGCCACAAGAGUUGGGUUAUUUCACAUUUUGUUAGUAGCUACCCUAUGGUCAUCUUUUGUACUUGAAGAUGUUUAAAGUAAAGAAAAAGAAUGUAAAGUUUUAUUUUGAGGCAAUGUGAUGUAAAAAGAAAUGAUGCAAGUGAUGUAAUGAAAUGUAAAGACUUUAUGGAUGUACAAGUUGAAUGAAAUGGAUACAUAUAUGUGAUCAAAAGAGAAUCAUAGUACUUGUGUAGAUGUUUAGUUUCCUUUCUUUCACUCAUGGCUAUUGCUUACCCU